rnacentral:rRNA from 1 species
AUGAACGCUAGCGGCAGGCCUAACACAUGCAAGUCGAGGGGCAUCACGAGGUAGCAAUACUUUGGUGGCGACCGGCGCACGGGUGCGUAACGCGUAUGUAACCUACCUAUAACAGGGGCAUAACACUGAGAAAUUGGUACUAAUUCCCCAUAAUAUUCGGAGAGGCAUCUCUCCGGGUUGAAAACUCCGGUGGUUAUAGAUGGACAUGCGUUGUAUUAGCUAGUUGGUGAGGUAACGGCUCACCAAGGCAACGAUACAUAGGGGGACUGAGAGGUUAACCCCCCACACUGGUACUGAGACACGGACCAGACUCCUACGGGAGGCAGCAGUGAGGAAUAUUGGUCAAUGGACGCAAGUCUGAACCAGCCAUGCCGCGUGCAGGAAGACGGCUCUAUGAGUUGUAAACUGCUUUUGUACGAGGGUAAACUCACCUACGUGUAGGUGACUGAAAGUAUCGUACGAAUAAGGAUCGGCUAACUCCGUGCCAGCAGCCGCGGUAAUACGGAGGAUUCAAGCGUUAUCCGGAUUUAUUGGGUUUAAAGGGUGCGUAGGCGGUUUGAUAAGUUAGAGGUGAAAUCCCGGGGCUUAACUCCGGAACUGCCUCUAAUACUGUUAGACUAGAGAGUAGUUGCGGUAGGCGGAAUGUAUGGUGUAGCGGUGAAAUGCUUAGAGAUCAUACAGAACACCGAUUGCGAAGGCAGCUUACCAAACUAUAUCUGACGUUGAGGCACGAAAGCGUGGGGAGCAAACAGGAUUAGAUACCCUGGUAGUCCACGCAGUAAACGAUGAUAACUCGUUGUCGGCGAUACACAGUCGGUGACUAAGCGAAAGCGAUAAGUUAUCCACCUGGGGAGUACGUUCGCAAGAAUGAAACUCAAAGGAAUUGACGGGGGCCCGCACAAGCGGAGGAACAUGUGGUUUAAUUCGAUGAUACGCGAGGAACCUUACCCGGGUUUGAACGUAGUCUGACCGGAGUGGAAACACUCCUUCUAGCAAUAGCAGAUUACGAGGUGCUGCAUGGUUGUCGUCAGCUCGUGCCGUGAGGUGUCGGGUUAAGUCCCAUAACGAGCGCAACCCCUACCGUUAGUUGCCAUCAGGUCAAGCUGGGCACUCUGGCGGGACUGCCGGUGUAAGCCGAGAGGAAGGUGGGGAUGACGUCAAAUCAGCACGGCCCUUACGUCCGGGGCUACACACGUGUUACAAUGGUAGGUACAGAGGGUCGCUACUCCGUGAGGAGAUGCCAAUCUCGAAAGCCUAUCUCAGUUCGGAUUGGAGGCUGAAACCCGCCUCCAUGAAGUUGGAUUCGCUAGUAAUCGCGCAUCAGCCAUGGCGCGGUGAAUACGUUCCCGGGCCUUGUACACACCGCCCGUCAAGCCAUGGAAGCUGGGGGUGCCUGAAGUUCGUGACCGCAAGGAGCGACCUAGGGCAAAACCGGUAACUGGGGCU